rnacentral:rRNA from 1 species
AACGAACGCUGGCGGCAUGCUUUAUACAUGCAAGUCGAACGGACCUUGAGGGCUUGCUCUCAAGUGUUAGUGGCAGACGGGUGAGUAAUACAUAGGAAUCUACCUUAAGGUGGGGAAUAACUUUGGGAAACCAGGGCUAAUACCUCAUAACAUGAGCAAUCAUCAAAGAUUUAUCGCCUUAAGAGGAGCCUAUGCCAGAUUAGGUUGUUGGUGGGGUAAUGGCCUACCAAGCCAAAGAUCUGUAGCUGGUCUGAGAGGAUGAUCAGCCACACUGGGACUUAGACACGGCCCAGACUCCUACGGGAGGCAGCAGUAGGGAAUAUUGGACAAUGGGGGAAACCCUGAUCCAGCAAUGCCGCGUGAGUGAAGAAGGCCCUUGGGUUGUAAAGCUCUUUCACCUGUGACGAUAAUGACGGUAGCAGGAUAAGAAGCCCCGGCUAACUCCG